rnacentral:piRNA from 1 species
UAGAUGGUUCCAGCAUAUUAAGGACAGC